rnacentral:tRNA from 3 species
GCCCGCUUAGCUCAGAGGU